AGUGCAAAGUGCAAAGGCCUUUAUUUACACACUGACACAUGCCAAGAUUGCCAUCAUGGCAUGUGUCACUGUUUCUCUCUCGCUGUUCUGUCUGUCUGUCUGUCUCUCAUCUGUCUGUCCUGUGUGUCUUUCUGUCUUGUUUGUCUGGUCUGUGUGUCUGGUGUCGGAUUUAGUCACUUUAUUUAGUCUCAACUUAAAUGGAUGAUUUUAAAGUUGAUUAGUCUUGAGGCGUCUGAUUUCUGCAGGAAAUUCUGUUACCUUAUUUUGAAAUGGCUUUAAUUUAAAAAUGUAAUUUUGGUCUUGAAUCUCAGUUAUCAUAGUUGCAAAAUGGACUGUUGAUAAACGUGGAAGCUGAUGAAUUAUGUAGUACAUGCAUCAAAGUUUACUGUAGCUUGUCUAAAGUUCUUUCAAAGUGCUGUAAAAAUGUAGUUCUGAUGAGCUAGACCAGGUCUUCCUUUAUUCUCAACUGGUAAUUGCUUUGAUAAGAUAACUGGUUCCUGAUUUGAUUAUGAAGCUAAACUUUUGAUUUAUAUGCAAGUGUAGUCACAUUAGAUUGUAGGUGUUAUUCAGCCCAUGGAUAAUGUUAUGAUAACUUUAAAUCUGGCAUUUGUUGGCAAACUUUUGAUAUCCAUUUAAGUCUUAAACUUUACGUACUGCCAUCAGCCUUUGUAGUCGCUAACUGAAAUCGAAUUCAAUAUUAAUGCUGACUUGUCUCACUCUGCCAAGUUUAUUUCCCUCUAAAGGAGUUGAACCUUUUUGUGUUCAUAGUCUUUUUGCGCGUUAUGUUGGGAGGCCUCCCAGCAGGGGAUUUUUAUCUUCCUCUGCAAAACUAUGCGUUACUCGCCUAAGGGAUGCAGGGCUAUCCUGCAUAGUUUCUUUCAAAAAUUAGAUUGUAGGUUGCAGGAUUAGAGCGCGUUUCUUUUCUUUAGGAGGACACAAACCUGGCAGAGAGACAACUCAGAUUAUUUAAGUGAAAGUUGCGCCAAAUGUUCAAACUUUUUACGUUUCGAUAAGACUUGAAAUAAAACCUUUAUUCUGUAGGCUGAAUUCAGACAGAAUUUGGCUUUAUGUUAAAGACUGUUGUGCAAGUAAUCUCUUGUAGCAGGAGUGAGCAGCUGCAGCUAUUUAAUUUAUUUUUCGUCAUUUGGUUUGUUUCUUGGAUUGACUUGGUGUCUGGAGCUUUGUGGUUAACAGUGAUCAUGUAAACGUGUAAACACAAGUGGUCUUUUGCUUCUUAUUUGCGAAGCUGGCAGCUGGUUGAAAUGAUAGCACUUUAUGGCUUGCCCAAAGUGGGAUUUUUGAUAGAGCAUGGGGUUAACCUUCAAAUUUCACAAUUUAGGCAGCUUGUAGAGUCAUUAGGAAGAUGCUUAAUCCCAAUGUCUUGGUUGGUUGCAUGAGAAACUGCUAUCUCUUAGAUGUGUUGGUGAAGUUCCUCCUCUGAUUUUUGUAGACUUGCCCUAAAGUUUCUCUCCGUUUUAACUCUUGUUGAGCUGUGCAUUAAAUGAUUCCUCCAACUUGUCUCCAUAUCAAUUUUUUUCUCCCUGCAGCCUUCCACCAGCCACUGCUGCUGUUGCAUCUGCUAAAGGUAGCCGUAUCCUGAUCCACUGCAUCUUCAUGUGUUGGGUAAGAAGUGUCUUUAGACUAUUAACAAUGUGAACACCUUUUAAAUGCUUGAUCUAAUUUACCCAAAUGGUUCAUUAGUUUAGGAGAAAAAAAAAAUCAUUGAGUUGACAUUUUUGGGGUCAGUAACCUGACCUCUAAAUGUUUGGGAAACCAUGCAAAAGAUCGCAAGCUCUCUGCAUGACCCAACAGCAUCGAUGUUUGAGUUAUUUAAUUGCUCAAUUUUUAAAUCAGUCAAGAUUUUAUGAGCUGGGUCCUCUUCACACAACAGAGAACAAGGUAAAUUGAGUCGACUCGUAACUUGGUAAGGCAUGUUGUCUUUCCCCUUCUUCUCUGUGUGUGAGGAAAUCUGACCACGGAUCCUGACUGAGUGGCAUACCAUGACUGUGCAGUUUCCAAAAUCAGACAAGGAUCCAUCUGAUUUUGUGACCCGGCCUGUCAUGAUAUGCAUUUAUCUUCCUCCGAAACAAAGGAUUGGAAUGGACAGGUUUGUAGUGUAAAUCACAUCACUUGUAGAUGGUGAAGCAUUUGUUUAAAUUGGGGUCAAGCAUUUUCAGGUGUCUGCUUUGUCAAUACUCUGGUGCCACGUCUUGCUAAACACACGAGAAGCUCUGAAUUGUGAAACUGCUGCCUCUUGCAGAUGUUUCAACAGCAAUGGCUGUUGAAAGGCUGCAGGGAGAGAAAAUGAGAUCUGAGGACAGGAAAGUGGAAUUGAUUUCAUGCUUAGCAAAAUGAGGGUUUCAGCAGAAGACCUUUUUGUGGCGAGGCUACAGAAUCAGAAGGAACUUUUGUCUGGGCAACUGGUAGAUUUACAGUUUUUCAUGCAGCCGACCAAAACAUUGGGGUUAGCAUCAUCCCAAAUGGCUGGCAAAGAUUGCUUGUAACUGUCAGUGUAGGACAGGAAAGGCAGGUAUAGGUUAGGGAGGGCAUCCAUCGGUGAGCUCUGACUGGAUGUGAGGACCUGUCACACUUGACCAGAGAUGAAGGCUGCGGCGCUCCAUGUUGGACACCACGACCUGGAGAAGUCCCGUCCUGGAUGGCUACGGUGAUGACCAAGCCCAAGAUGAACCGACCCUUCUACGACGAGGACUUAGCCCAAGAUGAACCGACCCUUCUACGACGAGGACUUCCCCAAGAUGAACCAACUCUUCUACGACGAGGACUUCGCCCAAGAUGAACCAACCUUUUCCACGGGAUGUCUUCAGAUGUUGGACCUUGCGAAACUGUACACAUGCAUCAAUGGCUGCUACGUCACUCUGCCGAACAGGACAUGGUCACCAAGAUUACAUUUUUUUUUUUUUUUUUUUUUAAAUGGACUUUAACCCCCCCCCGUCCCCACUGACCCACAAUCACACAUGACAAAACACUGUACAUGUGAUGUAUCACCGCACUAAAAUACAGACACUGCUACUUUCAGCCUGUUUCAGUCUGUAAAAAAUCGCAAGCCCUCUGCAUGACCCAACAGCAUCGAUGUUUGAGUUAUUUAAUUGCUCACUUUUUAAAUCAGUCAAGAUUUUAUGAGCUGGGUCUUCUUCACACAACAGAGAACAAGGUAAAUUGAGUCGACUCGUAACAUGGUAAGGCAUUUUGUCCUUCCCCUUCUUCUCUGUGUGUGAGGAAAUCUGGCCACAGAUCCUGACUGAUUGGCAUACUAUGGCUGUGCAGUUUCCAAAAUCAGACAAGGAUCCAUCUGAUUUUGUGACUCGGCUUGUCAUGAUAUGCAUUUAUCUUCCUCCGAAACAAAGGAUUGGAAUGGACAGGUUUAUAGUGUAAAUCACAUCACUUGUAGAUGGUGAUGGUGUACAGACACUGCUACUUUCAGCCUGUAAUGUUAGACAUUGAAAACUUGUAUUUAUUGCCUUCUUUAUAUAAAGUAAAACUUUUGUUCUUAA